UACGUAGGGGGCGAGCGUUGUCCGAAGUUACUGGGCGUAAAGCGCGUGUAGGCGGCUCGAUAAGUCUGCUGUGAAAGUCCAGGGGCUCAACCCCUGGGGAUGCCGGUGGAUACUGUCGAGCUCGAGUCCGGAAGAGGGAGUGUGGAAUUCCUGGUGUAGCGGGUGAAAUGCGUAGAUAUCAGGAGGAAUACCGAUGGCGGAAGGCCAGGUCUCUGGGCUAUAACCUGACGCUC
rnacentral:rRNA from 1 species